CUGCGGUAUUUUGACCGUGCUAAGGUAGCAUAAUCAAUUGUUUUUUAAUUGAAAACUAGUAUGAACGGUUUAAUUUACUUAAUUAGUUUGUAAUUUUUAAUAGUAAGUUAAAUAUAAAGUAAGAAUUCUUUAAUAAAUUAGGGGACGAUAAGACCCUAAAAGCUUUAUGAUUGGCAUUUAAUUAGUGAUAGCGGUGUUAUUAAUUCACUGGGGCAGUGAGUUUAGGUAUAUUUAAGUAUAAUUAAAAGCUCCUUUAAAUAAAGAUUUCAUGUAUAAGUUACUUUAGGGAUAACAGUGCAAUAUAUUUGGGGAGACC
rnacentral:rRNA from 1 species